GACGAACGCUGGCGGCGUGCUUAACACAUGCAAGUCGAACGGAAAGGCCUGCUUUCCCUUGUGGAUUGCGGGUACUCGAGUGGCGAACGGGUGAGUAACACGUGAGUGAUCUGCCCCCAACUUGGGUAUAAGCCUGGGAAACUGGGUCUAAUUCCCGAUAGGACUGCAGGGUGGUGCCUGUGGUGGAAAACGAUUUUCUAGUGGUUGGGGAUGAGCUCGCGGCCUAUCAGCUUGUUGGUGGGGUAAUGGCCUACCAAGGCGGCGACGGGUAGCCGGCCUGGGAGGGGGGACGGUGACAUUGGGACUGAGAUACGGCCCAGACUCCUACGGGAGGCAGCAGUGGGGAAUAUUGCACAAUGGGCGGAAGCCUGAUGCAGCGACGCCGCGUGGGGGAUGACGGCCUUCGGGUUGUAAACUCCUUUCGACCGCGAGGAAGCCACCUGGUUGGAAGGGUGGUGACGGUAGUGGUAGAAGAAGCACCGGCUAACUACGUG
rnacentral:rRNA from 1 species